GUCGUGGUUAGGGGGGGUGGUAUUUAAGCUCGUGAUUUGUUGAACCCACAGAUUGUGUGCUUCCUGUACCUCUUUUCGUGUUCCAAAUUGUGCGUGGGCCAUUUUUUCGUAUUCCCAAUUUUGGUUUACCUGUUUUAUAAGGUCCUCUAUGGGUGGGGUGAGAGCUUUUUUCCAAUGUCGGGAUAUCACUAGGUUGGCUGAUAUUAACGUAUGGUAUAAUAUCAGUUU